CGUAACAAAGGGAAGCGAACCCGUGAGGGGGAGCAAAUCCCAAAAAUAACGUCCCAGUUCGGAUUGCAGUCUGCAACUCGACUGCAUGAAGCUGGAAUCGCUAGUAAUCGUGGAUCAGCAUGCCACGGUGAAUACGUUCCCGGGUCUUGUACACACCGCCCGUCACACCAUGGGAGUCGGAAAUGCCCGAAGCCGGUGACCCAACCAAAAGGAGGGAGCCGUCGAAGGCAGGUCUGAUAACUGGGGUGAAGUCGUAACAAGGUACC
rnacentral:rRNA from 1 species